rnacentral:rRNA from 1 species
UGGGGGAUAUUGCACAAUGGGCGAAAGCCUGAUGCAGCGACACCGUGUGAGGGAAGACGGUCUUCGGAUUGUAAACCUCUGUCUUCGGGGACGAUAAUGACGGUACCCGAGGAGGAAGCCACGGCUAACUACGUGCCAGCAGCCGCGGUAAUACGUAGGUGGCGAGCGUUGUCCGGAAUUACUGGGUGUAAAGGGAGCGUAGGCGGGAGUGCAAGUUACAUGUUAAAUCCAUCGGCUCAACCGGUGGCCGCGUGUAAAACUGCAUUUCUUGAGUGAAGUAGAGGUUGGCGGAAUUCCUAGUGUAGCGGUGAAAUGCGUAGAUAUUAGGAGGAACACCAGUGGCGAAGGCGGCCAACUGGGCUUUUACUGACGCUGAGGCUCGAAAGCGUGGGGAGCAAACA